GGAGGGUUCGCCUAAUGGUAUGGCACUUGCUUGGAAAGCAAGCGGGAGCAAUCCCUUACAGGUUCGAGUCCUGUACCCUCCGCCA
rnacentral:tRNA from 1 species